UACGUAGGUGGCAAGCGUUGUCCGGAUUUACUGGGCGUAAAGAGCGCGCAGGCGGUCGUUCAAGUCGCGUGUGAAAGCCCCCGGCUCAACUGGGGAGGGUCACGCGAUACUGAUCGACUCGAAGGCAGGAGAGGGAAGUGGAAUUCCCGGUGUAGUGGUGAAAUGCGUAGAUAUCGGGAGGAACACCAGUGGCGAAGGCGAGUCCCUGGACAACUCCUGACACUGAGGCACGAAAGCUAGGGGAGCAAACAGG
rnacentral:rRNA from 1 species